rnacentral:tRNA from 1 species
UCCCUGGUGGCUCAGAUGGUAAAGCAUCUGUCUACAAUGCAGGAGACCCAGGUUCGAUCUCCGGGUAGGGAA